AUGAGUUCACGCUCUGCCAACAAAAUCUACCACACGUUUGGAGAGCAAUUCAAGUACCGGGUUUUCGUGUCCGUCUCUCAAAACACUGAUAUGAUGAAGGUUCUGAGAGGUAUUCUGAGCCAACUGAGCAAGCGAGAGUACAGUAGCACUGAAUCUGGGGAUGAGAGACAACUCAUUGACAACAUUUCAGAUUUCCUUCGAGACAAAAGGUAUUUUAUUAUGCUUGAUGAUGUAUGGAGCGUAGAAACAUGGGAGAUUAUCAAGUGUGCAAUUCCCGGAAACAGUUUUGGUAGUAGAGUAAUCACAACAACGCGUAUAAAGGUAGUGGCCGAAUCUUGCUCCUCCACAAAUCAUGUUUAUGAAAUAAGGCCUCUUAACGCCGUGCACUCAAAGGGGUUGUUCCUCAAGAGAAUAUUCAGUUCAAACAGUUUCCCCGACACGUCAACAGAAUUUGUGAUGAUAUAUUGA
rnacentral:rRNA from 1 species